rnacentral:rRNA from 1 species
UAGGGAAUCUUCGGCAAUGGACGAAAGUCUGACCGAGCAACGCCGCGUGAGUGAAGAAGGUUUUCGGAUCGUAAAACUCUGUUGUUAGAGAAGAACAAGGACGUUAGUAACUGAACGUCCCCUGACGGUAUCUAACCAGAAAGCCACGGCUAACUACGUGCCAGCAGCCGCGGUAAUACGUAGGUGGCAAGCGUUGUCCGGAUUUAUUGGGCGUAAAGCGAGCGCAGGCGGUUUCUUAAGUCUGAUGUGAAAGCCCCCGGCUCAACCGGGGAGGGUCAUUGGAAACUGGGAGACUUGAGUGCAGAAGAGGAGAGUGGAAUUCCAUGUGUAGCGGUGAAAUGCGUAGAUAUAUGGAGGCACACCAGUGGCGAAGGCGGCUAUCUGGUCUGUAACUGACGCUGAGGCUCGAAAGCGUGGGGAGCAAACAGG